UCUUGCUAAUUAAAGUAAGGUACACGGAAACAGAACAUCAACAUCAUCCUAGAACUUGUUAGAAAUGCAGAAUCUGGGGCUCCAUCCCAGACCUUCCAGGAAAAGCCUCUUUCCUCUUCUUCUGGGUUGGUGCUAGGCCUCCCAGAGGAGCAAAUCAUGACUGAUGGGGAGAAGAAGGCAACACAGCUUCAAAGACCUGCCCCAAAUCCAUCAAAAACAGCUGGAUUAAUUCCCAGAGAAUGGAGUCAUUUUCCUGAUGGGAACUCUUAGCACUGAUUGGAAGGAGGAGAUUAGCGGGCUUUUCAUUUUUGUCCUGAUGCAAUUUGAAAAUCUCAUCAAUUCAAAGGUAUCCUGGAGACACUGUUUCUCAAUUCUUGUUUCAUGUUUCUCAACCUGUAUUUAACCCUUGGAUCCAAUUCUUUCUUCUUUGUCAUUCUCUUUCAAUGAAUAUGCAUUGGUAUAUGUUAACUUAACACCUACUGUGUGCAAUGCACAGUGCUAGAUGACUUCACAAACCU
rnacentral:lncRNA from 1 species